GAUGAAGAACGUAGCAAAAUGCGAUAAGUAAUGUGAAUUGCAGAAUUCAGUGAAUCAUCGAAUCUUUGAACGCACAUUGCGCCCGCCAGUAUUCUGGCGGGCAUGCCUGUUCGAGCGUCAUUUCAACCAUCAAGCCCCAGGCUUGUGUUGGGGACCUGCGGCUGCCGCAGGCCCUGAAAACCAGUGGCGGGCUCGCUAGUCACACCGAGCGUAGUAGCAUACACAUCGCUCAGGGCGUGCUGCGGGUUCCGGCCGUUAAACCCCUUUUUUACCCAAGGUUGACCUCGGAUCAGGUAGGAAGACCAGCUGAACUUAAGCAUAUCAAUAAGCGGAGGA
rnacentral:misc_RNA from 1 species